rnacentral:rRNA from 1 species
GACAGAGGGUGCAAACGUUGUUCGGAAUUACUGGGCGUAAAGCGCGUGUAGGCAGUUUCGCAAGUCGGGUGUGAAAGCCCUGGGCUCAACCUAGGAAGUGCACUCGAAACUGCGAGACUUGAGUCCUGGAGAGGAAGGCGGAAUUCUCGGUGUAGAGGUGAAAUUCGUAGAUAUCGAGAGGAACACCGGUGGCGAAGGCAGCCUUCUGGACAGUGACUGACGCUGAGACGCGAAAGCGUGGGGAGCAAACAGG